CCAUCAUAAUGCUGAUGGCCAAAGAAGAGCUUUAUAUUUAGAAGAUUAGCACGGCCCCUGAACAAGAAUGACAUACAAAUUCUUGAAGUGUUCCAUAUUUCU